rnacentral:lncRNA from 1 species
UUGACAUGGGAAAUGUGUGACCUUGAGCUCCUCUUCCACAAUUCCCUGUGGAGUAUUUCACAGGGAGAACCUUGGCUAUUAGCCAGCCUCCUCUACACAGUGACAGAACCUGCUGCUAUUCUGUGUCCCUGGCCUCUGACUCCAUACAAGGCUCGGGUUUUUGGUCACAGCAGAAAGAAAGUAACAUAAGAAUGUUAACCAAGAGUCAGACAAUGGGUGUAGACCACUAGGUUCUCUCUCCAGUUUAUGAAUUUUUUAAAGACACAAAAAUUCCAAAAUUUGUCACUACAUUGGCCUGAACUUGGGACCUGGAUUGUAUAAGAAAGCAAGCUGAACAAGCAAGGAGAAGCAAGCUACUAAGCAGCCUUCCUCUGUCACCUCUGCUUCACCUUCCUGCCUGUAGGUUCCUGCCUGGAAUUCUUGCCACAAUGUCCCAUCAUAGAAGACUAGAAGCUACAAGAUGAAAGAAAUCCUUUUUCCUCCAACUUGCCUUUGAACUGGAUAUUGAACCCAGGGCCUCAUCAAUGCUCAGCAAGUACCUCAUCACUGGCCUGUAUCCCCAGCCACCAGCUUCUAUUUUUAUUUCAAGGUCUAUGGUUCACUUGGAUGUCCAGUACAGAAGAUAAAGCCAACGAGAAGCUAUGGAUGUUGAGAAUGGUGAAAGGGUGAGUGUGAGAGAUAGGGGCAGUGGGCUGGGAGACAACAUAGGGAGCUGCCCUGGUGUAGGGGCAGAAGCGAAUGUCAGUUAGCCAGGUCUCAUGCUGAUGGAAGUGGACAGUAUAACAUGCAGCUGGGGUGAAAGGGGAACUGGACAGGGGAAGUAGAUAGGGCCAUAUUACAAACCUUUGUUGUUUACGUUCAAAGUAGCAAGCAGCUACCCAGGGAGUUUAAACAAAAGGCGGUGGCUAGCAGCCCUCACCAGAUGUGUCAUAUGGCUAAGGAAAUUGGGAAAACACAAAUGCCUCAAUACCCAGAAGUUAAAGUGUAGCCUAGAAGGACAGACAUGAAAAAAAAAGCCACAUACUAUCAGGGCAAAUCUAGCAUUAACUAACAUUGAACCUCUCCCUUGGAGGACUGCUCAUAUGAACACCCUUGGGAAGGACCUGGACAUCAGAUGCUAUAAGCUGACAGUCACCCUCCCUACAAAGGAGAACAUGAUCGACCUCGACAAGAUCACAGCUAUAUUGGGCAUGUCAUGCUUUUUCAAGUACAGUGGGAAAGAAGUUUGCUUCACCCAGAGAGAAGCAACUCUGUUUUCCCAGGUGGAAGUUAAGGUUUGAUCAAUGCUCGCAGGUGACUAUUUGUAGCUCAGAGGGUCCCAGGGUGUCCUUGGAUCUGUUCCGUGUUUGCUCACUCGCCUGCUGUCUGCUGUCUCCUUGAUUUCUUGAUUUCAUUAGGAGAUAGGAGCUUAUAAUACUGUGGAGAAAUGUAAAGCUAUUAGUGGGUCAUUGUUGAAGUCAGAGCAUGCCCUGUUAAGCUUCUUAGAAAACCAGUGGUAGCCAAUGAUACAG